GUAAGGAAUAUUGGUCAAUGGACGCAAGUCUGAACCAGCCAUGCCGCGUGAAGGAUGAAGGUCCUCUGGAUUGUAAACUUCUUUUAUAUGGGAAGAAAUCCAUCUUUUCUUGGGUGGUUGACGGUACCAUAGGAAUAAGCACCGGCUAACUCCGUGCCAGCAGCCGCGGUAAUACGGAGGGUGCAAGCGUUAUCCGGAUUCACUGGGUUUAAAGGGUGCGUAGGAGGGCAGGUAAGUCAGUGGUGAAAUCUCCAAGCUUAACUUGGAAACUGCCGUUGAUACUAUCUGUCUUGAAUACCGUGGAGGUGAGCGGAAUAUGUCAUGUAGCGGUGAAAUGCUUAGAUAUGACAUAGAACACCAAUUGCGAAGGCAGCUCGCUACACGAAUAUUGACUCUGAGGCACGAAAGCGUGGGGAGCAAAC
rnacentral:rRNA from 1 species